UACGGAGGGGGCAAGCGUUUGUUCGGAAUUACUGGGCGUAAAGCGUGCGCAGGCGGCUUCUCAAGUCAGGGGUGAAAGCCCAGAGCUCAACUCUGGAAUUGCCUUUGAGACUGAGUGGCUUGAGUACGAGAGAGGUGAGUGGAAUUCCCAGUGUAGAGGUGAAAUUCGUAGAUAUUGGGAAGAACACCGGUGGCGAAGGCGGCUCACUGGCUCGUAACUGACGCUCAUGCACGACAGCGUGGGGAGCGAACGGG
rnacentral:rRNA from 1 species